rnacentral:rRNA from 1 species
ACGUGGGUAACCUACCUAUAAGACUGGAAUAACUUCGGGAAACCGGAGCUAAUGCCGGAUAACAUUUGGAACCGCAUGGUUCUAAAGUAAAAGAUGGUUUUGCUAUCACUUAUAGAUGGACCCGCGCCGUAUUAGCUAGUUGGUAAGGUAACGGCUUACCAAGGCAACGAUACGUAGCCGACCUGAGAGGGUGAUCGGCCACACUGGAACUGAGACACGGUCCAGACUCCUACGGGAGGCAGCAGUAGGGAAUCUUCCGCAAUGGACGAAAGUCUGACGGAGCAACGCCGCGUGAGUGAUGAAGGUUUUCGGAUCGUAAAACUCUGUUAUUAGGGAAGAACAAAUGUGUAAGUAACUGUGCACAUCUUGACGGUACCUAAUCAGAAAGCCACGGCUAACUACGUGCCAGCAGCCGCGGUAAUACGUAGGUGGCAAGCGUUAUCCGGAAUUAUUGGGCGUAAAGCGCGCGUAGGCGGUUUCUUAAGUCUGAUGUGAAAGCCCACGGCUCAACCGUGGAGGGUCAUUGGAAACUGGGAAACUUGAGUACAGAAGAGGAAAGUGGAAUUCCAUGUGUAGCGGUGAAAUGCGCAGAGAUAUGGAGGAACACCAGUGGCGAAGGCGACUUUCUGGUCUGUAACUGACGCUGAUGUGCGAAAGCGUGGGGAUCAAACAGGAUUAGAUACCCUGGUAGUCCACGCCGUAAACGAUGAGUGCUAAGUGUUAGGGGGUUUCCGCCCCUUAGUGCUGCAGCUAACGCAUUAAGCACUCCGCCUGGGGGAGUACGACCGCAAGGUUGAAACUCAAAGGAAUUG